GCUUGACUGUAGCUUGUAAUUGGGUUCGGGCUUUUUUGCGCAGCCUAGGUGGGAGGCAACGAUGAUUUUUUUCCGGAAAAAUUUGAGCCGUUAGUGAGAGACCACUCUGAAAAGGCUAGAAUCCUAAUAAUGAUCCUUGAAUCAGGACAUUUGACAGUUGCAGGUGGGCAGUUUUACUGGGGCGGUAUUCUCCUAAAAAGUAACGGAGGGGUGCAAAGGUUCCCUCAAGCUGGACGGAAAUCAGCUUAAGAGUGUAAAGGCAAAAGGGAGCUUGACUGCAAGACCUACAAGUCGAGCAGGGCGAAAGCCGGCCUUAGUGAUCCGACGGUACCACGUGGAAGGGCCGUCGCUCAACGGAUAAAAGUUA
rnacentral:rRNA from 1 species